rnacentral:lncRNA from 1 species
UGCCUCACAACCAAUCAGGUCAGAGGAGGUGGAGAACGGACUUUUGAAUAUUGACUUAUAUUAAAAGAUUUUUUGUUUAUACACUGCAAAUAAAGAUGCUUCUUUAACGGAUUACUGCCGACCCCACCUUUUUAAGUAAGUUAGAUACCCUAACUCCUAAUGGGCGAAUGAUUUGGUGGGUUGUUAGCCUUAGCGGUACUAGCACAGCGUCUACGAGGUCAUGCUAGUUUCCAGUUUUGAAAAUCUAGGACUUCAAAAGCAAGUGGCUGAUUCAGUCGGGUGUUAGCUUUUCCAAACUCGCUUUAGAUGCCGAUGUUAUGGUUUAACUUUACAUGAUAAUCUCACGUGUUGAUGUCCAGCCAAGCUAGCAGCCAAUCAACAGCACUGUGAGCAUACUGACUAUUCAGAUCAUACGUCAACAUCGCCACCAUAUCGAUAGUAUGUAGAAUGAUGUCAUACGGUCCGGUUGGUUGCUAGCCUUGAAAACCAAAGACCGGUUUGGUUGAUAACUGGAUCAGUUUGUGGUUUUGUUGGAGAUUUAGACUUCCUGGACUUUUCGGUGGCCUUUAUCUUUGACCUUUUCCCCGCGGCGUCCUUAAACAGGUUGUGUUUGGUCGCGGUAACGUCGUGUCCGACACGAAAACCCGAACCGUGUUCCUAAAACCGCGUUUAGCCGGAGAGACUCUGAAGUUCGAAGGAGAGAAAACAAAAGAGGAAUUGAAAAGUGUUUGCAGACUCGUUUCAUGGAGCGUGUACACACACUGACUCACUGUUUUUGUUUUCUGUUUUGUGUGUGUGUGUGUGUGUGUGUGUGUGUGUGUGUGUGUGUGUGUGUGUGUGUGUGUGUGUGUGUUUGGGGUGUGUGUUUUCAGCUGCCCUGUGUGAGUAGGUGUUCACAGCAGCUCCCGGCGGGCUCCACACAUUCAGCUACUGAAGCCUUGUUAGAGCUUAUAAUGAGCCAUAAAAGUGCUCAGCUGUAUCCAACAUGCAUCACCUGUCUGCACACGAACACACACACACACACACACACACACACACACACACACACACACUCCCGCAGGAACAAAUAAAGCCAUAUUGUCCCCAGUCUGAUUGCUGUGAUAAUUAAUGUAGCAUACGACCAGAAAAACACACUGAGGCCAAUUAGAGAGAGAGAGAGAGAGAGAGAGAGAGAGAGAGAGAGAGAGAGAGAGAGAGAGAGAGAGAGAGAGAGAGAGAGAGAGAGAGAAACUUGGAGGUAGAUUACAAUCAGACAAAUCUCUGUUUUGGUUUCUAAAACCGACGAUGAAAAUGUUUGAACUGUCGCACAUUUAAAGUUCAUAAUAUCUUCAACCGUCACUUCAAAUAUGAACGAUUUCACUUUCUCUCCAUCGUGAAGAAGGAAAAACUGAUAAAUAAGAACGAGGGAGAGUCAUGGAGGUCCAGAGAACUCGUUCCUGUCCGGUGUACUCACACUUACCCGAGAUUUCCACUGCAUCCUGAAUGGCUCUGAUGUGGAACAGCUGUAAUUUUUGCCGAUAUCAAGUUGUCUCUCUAAAGACAGACACAUAGACAUAUAAGCAGUAGAUUGUGUCCUUCCAGAGGAGGAAAUCUACUUCUAGACUUCUAGAAUCAGCAUCUCCUCAUCCAUGGUGUCAUCGGGGUGAAAUGACGUCUAAAAACCUUUCACUUGUUCGUCUCGUCUCUUUCACUUUGUGUCUGUGCCCGACUUCCUUUCCAGCACGGGUUAAUCUGUGCUGAAUUUAUCCGCCAUGCUCCGGCGUCCAGAAAAAAUAGAACUCUUGUGAUCAGCUGAGGAGUCCGGCGAUCUGCAGAGGAACGGAAAGAAGUCGGUGUAAAUUGACACGUUAACUUGAAUGGUUACGAUCAGCUACGAUCGGAGGAUACGACCUUUUAGGAGACGAUCAGGAUGAAGGUGGAGAUUUGGGGGUUAGACAACCUAUCUCACCUCUACCUUCAGGCUGAGUUCAUGUUUUGAUCAGGCUGAUUGACUCCAGCUCUUUUGCGUCCGGUCUCUCCCAUCAUUAAUCAUUAAAGCGAAACGAUCGUCUCAGAGCUGUUUUCACGAGAGUUUGUCUACAAGAAAGUUCUUGAAAUCCUCCUGGAGUGAAGACAAUGGAACCUGGAAGGUGUUUUUGAAAACUCUUUAAAACUCUUAUUAACCAAAUGUAAGUCCUUCUCCACCAAAAGUACCAGGAACUUUUAGCUCCAGGAACAUUGAAAUAAACGGCCCGUUGUCUCAGUUUCCACCACGGUCUGAUGGUGAGUUCAUGAAGUCACUUGUAGAUCGUUCUAUCGUCCUAUGGCGCCUCUUCGUUUUCUACACCUCUCUGUUUGAAGAUCGUGUUUGUGUGUAAAUGAAGCGCCCGUCGAUAAUGUCCUGAAAACUGUUCAACAUCCCCAGGUAUGAAAAAGAGUCAUAACUGAAGUUUGAACAAAGAGUUACCUGUUUUAAGUUCCUGGACCUGCAGAGGGUACUGUCUCCUGGGGUAGGGACUUUUGAAGGGUAGAUCGAGAACCGAAUGAAGACUAAUGUCACAUCCUGUUAUUUUAUGCUCAGGUUAAACGUCUUUUCUAGUUUUUGUAAAAAGUAUCUGUUUUUAAACUGUUUUUUAGAGAAUAGAGUCUGUUUUGGUGUCAUGUGUCUGCGUCAUUUCACAAUAAUCAUUAACAGUCAGAGAAACAGGCGGGAACGAGGUCUGUGUGUUUUUCACACUCGGUGGGUUUUGUUGAGGCUUCAGGAGUGACGUCCAGGCGUAAUUAAAAGCAGCAGAGCCGCUUUCACCUCACAGCCUGGAAACAUGUGGCAACUUGUUAAUUUACCUCCUCCCAGAGUCUCCCAGAGGAGAGGAGAGGAGGAGGCAGAUGGGAUGGAGUCACCUGAGGCAGCAGCAGGAGGAGGAGGAGGAGGAGGGGACUCCUAUUAAGACCAAGUUUAGCUCCCGUCACAGAGAAAAGGAUGUUACUGUAUUAAAAACUCUGUAAAUGACUUUUUGUGAAUGUAGAGUCGAGUGUCUUAAAGAUGCUCCGAACCGCUUACUUCUCUAGUUAUACCAACUUUAGUAACGACCGCACAGAGCCACGCCCUCAACCAAAAGGCCACUCUAUAGCCACAAAUAAUGCUCAGAACAGCACCUAACUUCAUCAACAGGACAUAUAGGGUCACAGACAUAGUACUAUAUUCAGAGUUGUUCUAACUCCUAAGAAAACAAACUUAAGCGGGGGCGUUUCUCCACCUCUGUAGUCUAUAAGCUGGGCCAAUAAACUUCUACUGUAGUAAAAUGAAAAGGUAAAGGUGUUUUUAUUGAGCCGAAUUAUCAAUAAAAUCAUGAUUUUGUUAACAGGUAUGGAUUUAUGUGCUGUUGAGUUAAUAUAUUUGAACAAGAGCACAGUAAAGUUAAAUCAGAUAAUUUUCCAAUGAGGUUCUGUUACUGAACGGAACUACACCAUGAUCUACUGAGGUUAGUACAUAUAGGGUCACAGCCAUAGUACUAGACACCAAACAUCUUUUUAACUUUGACUCAUUUCUUUAGCAAAGAGACUAAACACAACUCACCUACUCUCUUCCAGCAGACGCUUGUUUGUAGAGAGACCUCAGCCCAGUCCAUUACAGACUACAGCGGGGUGCUGCAGCUCAAGGAAGAACAUUUAUGAUCAUUUCUUUAUCAUUUCCUUGAAGUAAUAAUCACCAUAUCAAUCAUUUUACAGACGCGGUAGUUCUUCUGUCUUAGCGUCUCGGUCUGAUUGUAUUUCCAUGAAGAAAUGAUCAUAAAUGUUCUUCCUUGAGCUGCGGCACCCCGCUGUAGUCUGUAAUGGACUGGCCUGAGGUCUCUCUACAAACAAGCGUCUGCUGGAAGAGAGUAGGUGAGUUUGUGUUUAGUCUCUUUGCUAAAGAAAUGAGUAUUUAAGUGAGUUUAUGAGUUAAUGAGUUUAUUUAUGAGUAUAAGUAUUUAACCAGUAAAUUCUUUAAAACUCCUCCUCUGUAGCUUUUGAGGUGAGGCGCUCUUCAUGUGUGUUUCGCUCACGUAUAUCGCGGCCAUAUCGCGCGCUGACAGCUUGAAAUGAAAAACAGGAUUGUAAAAAAUUCCUAGCGUCCGUCUCCUGCUGCCACAGCACAGAUUUACAGCAGCUGAUGUGAAUUAUUUCAUUUCAAUGUUAAUUAUCCUCCUCUUUAAAACGUCACAGCUUCUCUUAAUAUCCUCCAGAGGUUAACACGCGGGUUAAAUACAUUUCACUGAGCCUAUUAUCCAGAACAGCGUUACCCACAAUCCACUUCACCUGUUUAACAAGUUUGACCCAUUUAAAGUUAAACGUCCUUCAUCGUCUCAAACGCAUGUUUUGAAAUGAAAUGCGACCCGAGACGUUUUGGCAUCAGAAUGAUAAAUAACGUGACUCAGAGCGCUAUAAUACGACUAUUUCGAGUCUAGUUUCCAUGACAACGAGAAGAUCUAUUUAAAUUUUGACAUUCAUAAUAUAUGACAUCUUACUGCACACUUCUUAAAUAUAGACAUCUUCAUCCCUGUAAUACGUAAUCUGAAACAAACUGAACUUUUCGAUAAAUACGAUAUUUCACCUCCGAACGUUUGAAAACAUGUUUCUCAGUGAUCUGAAUCAAACUCCUGCUCGGCUUUAAGUGGUAAAUAUGUGUGAUCGACAGUUUAUAGACAGUGAAAUAUACAGUCUGUGUCGACAAACGAGUUCAUGUUUGUUGUUGACAAGUGUCAGGAAGAGAGUGAACAGCAGAGCUCUGCGCAGUGAAGAGUGGAGAAGUUGAUGGUUCACCUCCACCACCAAACUGACUUCAUUCGCUUCAAUACAGGAUGGAGCCGAGCGCUGUGAGCUGCUGCGAUACGAUCUUUGUGAAUCCCUCAGAUCUUCUUCGUGAAAAUACGUUUCUGUUUUGUUUUGGUUUUUCCUCCAGACAGCUCCAACCGCA